rnacentral:lncRNA from 1 species
GUCGAUGAGUCAAAUGACAAACAAAUUCAGAGUAGAUACAAUUUUAUAGAAAUAUGUAGACCAUCUGCAAUGGACUGCAGGAAUCUCAUCCUGGAAGAAGCAGUUUCACUGUACAUUAAACAGGCCCCCACCCUUUGCUGAAACAUGCACUUCAAAAUGCCAGACACCACAUUCUGUUUAAAGCUCCAUAUUCCCUUCAGGAAGAUGUAUUUAAACAAUCCAUGUCUUCUGUCAUCUUUUUAUAAUUUUACAUUUUCCAAACUUCAGAAAGUUAACUAAUUUGAAAAAAGAAAAAACACCUUCAAAACAUUGACAUGCAUAAUUUAAUUACUUAAACCCCUGAAGGCUAUGCGGAAGAACCACCAGGAAGACUUGUUAAAAGACAGAUGCUGGCCCCGCCCCUGGAGUUUUGGAUUCAGUAGGUCUGAAAUGGGACCUGAGGAACUGCGUCUCUCACAGGUUCCCCGGGGCUGCUGAUGGUGCUGGCUGGGAACUACACUUUGAGAAACACUGCUUUAGAAUCUACCUCUCAAAAAAACAAUCAAAGUUAUUUCUAAUUACCUGUGAAUAACUUUUUAAAAGGGGACAGUUCAACAGCCUCCCUUUUAUUCUACCUCAUACAGCAAAAUAAUGCCAGUCAGAAAAAAAGAGUAUUGAAGACCCUGCUGAGCAGCUUACAUCACAAAGAGUAGUUUUUAAGGAAGGGAGAGAUUCCUGUUUGAGUUUCAUCAUAGUACCUACCACCUAGUCUAUUUGGAUACCCUCCUCAUUUUAUUGUAAGAUAUUGAAUAUAUAAUAACAUGCAAUACAGAGCUGGUUCUGCUGCUGACACGAAAGAGACUAACGCACACCAGUGUGGACCCAGUGAGGACGUUGCUGGCCUGGCCCCGGUGGCGCUGGGAGAAUACAAAGGGGGUAAAGAAAGAGACAGUCAGAUGAGUCACUUAUCAGCCUGGAGCAGGUAUGGAUUGUGGAAAGCCCAAAGCAGCUACAAUAUGAAAUACUGAAAUUGUAGACCAAGCUAGAGAGUUCUCAAGUAAACUUCCCAUUCUUGGGUAUCACAGAUUGAUACGCCUGAAUCAAAGCCCUCAAAUACACCCAGACUCAGACAUGCUGUAUGUGACUUUGUGUAAAGCCAGGUAGUGUUGUGACAGACUUGAAUCUCUGUUCCACUUUACCCUCUUCUAAACAUUUUUUGGUAGAUUAUUUCAUUGGAUUCUCAUAACCAAAUGUGGCACUUUCUCUUGCCAUUAAAAAAAAACAAAAAACAAAAAAACCCUAGUUAAUACUCAGAUUUUGCCUGUGUUGUGUGCUUUAACAGUCCUGGAAGACAUCAAUUACAGAAGCUCUCCAUCUCCCAGAAAUUUUACCACCUUUUACACUUCUUUGGGUUAAAGUGGACUCCAGGAAGGUCGCAUGUUAAGUUGCUGUCUUGUAUAUUUUGGUGAUUUAGUCAAUUAUCUUAGUAAAUUAAUGAGAGCACAAAAUAAGCAAAUACUCAUUGAGCACCUACUAUGUGACAGAUAAACUAGAGGGUGGGGCACAGUAAAGAAUGGGAUGCAAUCCCUGCCCUGAGGCAGCUCACAGCUUAAUGCUUAGAGACUUUUGAAGCCUGAAGCACUCCUGAGGGUUGCCCUGUGGUCCAGAGUUCCGGGUAAGCCAGGAUAGCAGGAGGGCUCAGACCAGAAAGGUAAGAGGAAGAGCUUAAUGUAAGUUUGAGCUGUCUCACACUUUGAUCUAGGGCAGGUUGUUUCCUGAGCUGCUUCAGUCUGUUCUGUUUUGCCUCCUGAGACAUCUGCAUUGUACCAACCCACAGUUCAGUUCAGUCGCUCAGCCGUGUCCAACUCUUCUGCGACCCCAUGGACUGCAGCCCACCAGGCUUCCCUGUCCAUCACCGACUCCCAGAGCUUACUCAAACUCAU